AACGAACGCUGGCGGCAUGCCUAACACAUGCAAGUCGAACGAGACCUUCGGGACUAGUGGCGCACGGGUGCGUAACGCGACGGAACCUGCCCUCAGGUUCGGACUACCUCCCCGAAAGGGGUACUAAUACCGGAUAAUGUCUACGAACCAAUGAUUUAUCGCCUUUGGAUGGGCCCGCGUUGAAUUAGCUAGUUGGUAGGGUAAAAGCCUACCAAGGCGACGAUCCAUAGCUGGUCUGAGAGGAUGAUCAGCCACACUGGGACUGAGACACGGCCCAGACUCCUACGGGAGGCAGCAGUGGGGAAUAUUGGACAAUGGGCGAAAGCCUGAGCCAGCAGUGCCGCGUGAGUGAUGAAGGCCUUAGGGUUGUAAAGCUCUGUUACCCGGGAUGAUAAUGACAUUACCGGGAGAAUAAGCUCCGGCUACCUCCGU
rnacentral:rRNA from 1 species